GAUGAACGCUGGCGGCGUGCCUAAUACAUGCAAGUCGAGCGAACAGACGAGGAGCUUGCUCCUCUGACGUUAGCGGCGGACGGGUGAGUAACACGUGGAUAACCUACCUAUAAGACUGGGAUAACUUCGGGAAACCGGAGCUAAUACCGGAUAAUAUAUUGAACCGCAUGGUUCAAUAGUGAAAGACGGUUUUGCUGUCACUUAUAGAUGGAUCCGCGCCGCAUUAGCUAGUUGGUAAGGUAACGGCUUACCAAGGCAACGAUGCGUAGCCGACCUGAGAGGGUGAUCGGCCACACGGGAACUGAGACACGGUCCAGGCUCCUACGGGAGGCAGCAGUAGGGAAUCUUCCGCAAAGGGCGAAAGCCUGACGGAGCAACGCCGCGUGAGUGAUGAAGGUCUUCGGAUCGUAAAACUCUGUUAUUAGGGAAGAACAAAUGUGUAAGUAACUGUGCACGGCUUGACGGUACCUAAGCAGAAAGCCACGGCUAACUACGUG
rnacentral:rRNA from 1 species